rnacentral:tRNA from 1 species
GCCUGGGUAGCUCAGUGGUAGAGCGUUUCCUUGGUAAGGAAAAGGUCGGCAGUUCAACUCUGCUCUCAGGCUCC